UCCCCAUUGGUCCAAUGGUUAGGAUAGAAGCCUCUCACGCUUCAGGCCCGGGUUCGAUUCCCGGAUGGGGAA
rfam:Edhazardia aedis TSNM 41457 supercont1.11, whole genome shotgun sequence.